rnacentral:rRNA from 1 species
GACGUAGGAGGCGAGCGUUGUCCGGAUUCAUUGGGCGUAAAGAGCGCGCAGGCGGCUUGGUAAGUCGGAUGUGAAAUCCCGAGGCUCAACCUCGGGUCUGCAUCCGAUACUGCCCGGCUAGAGGUAGGUAGGGGAGAUCGGAAUUCCUGGUGUAGCGGUGAAAUGCGCAGAUAUCAGGAGGAACACCGGUGGCGAAGGCGGCAUCCUGGACCGGUAUUGACGCUGAGGCGCGAAAGCCAGGGGAGCAAACGGG